CCGAGUUCUCCUCCACUUGCAUUCCAGUCGCCUACCAAGCCACUUCAUCCCCCGCAACUCCUUGGUGUACCAGGGGGCCAUCUUAGAAGCAGGCCUGGAGGGACACUUUGGAGCAAUAAUAUCUACUGCCCUGAUAUGUGAUGCAUGCUACCCACAUCUGAACUGCAUAUGGAUGGAAAUGUCUUGCAAGAAUGGGCAUUACAUUUUCCUGACAAUAUGAAGGAUUCAAAACUCCAUAAGGAGCUCAUUUGAGCUCUCAGGUCUAAGAGGAAGCGAAAUGUACAAAAUUCAUCUGCACAAGACUUUUUAUGGAUCAUUGUUAUGUCUCACCAAAGACAGAGGAGGCUUAAGAAGCAACAAAUAAGGCCUGUGGAUUUAGUCCAAGGAUUUUGUCCAGCUGUGACCAAGAGAACACAUCUGCAGGGGAACGAACUGCCCAUUUGCUUUCUGAAAUGUCAAGGAAAUCCAAGAAGAGUACAGAAGUUUUGUAAACCCGCUGCUAGAGUUGAUUAACGUAAUUGACUGACAUUGCUUCAGUACUGUACCACAUUUUAAAACACACUUCACUCAAAGGAAAUGAACACAUAAACGGGGCCAACUACACUUCACGAAGUUUAGCCCUGCAUUUUUUAAAGUUAAAUAGCAUCUAUGAGGUGGGAGUGGGGGAAUCAAGACUGGGACCACAGUACAUGGGGAAAGGGUAUUUAACCCUUUCCCCAUGAGCCAUGGUCUGGACAAAGGUUGUGCCCCCCAAGCUAUUAUUAUACCCAACUUCCAAUUUAAUAACAGCAAGAGGAUGAAUCAGAUUGGGAUUAGAGCACUAGGGAAGUGAGGGAUUAACCAUUUCCCCCUUGCCACUAAAAGGUCUCCCCAGAAGCCACUAUUUGAAACUGGUAGUAGUUGUAGUAGUUUUUCUAACAGGAUAAAUAGCAGUUUCCAGGGAUCAUUUCAAAUUGGGAAAACAACACAACAUAAAUGGUUAAACCCCUGCUCCCUGUGCUCUAGACUCAAUCCAAUUCCUCACUGUACAGCCACCUUUAUCUUUUGUUUUUUAAAGUGAGAGCUCCAUUAACUGAUCUUCUACUAUGUUGUCUAAUUAUACCCUAACACUGACAUCUUGACUAGUUUCUCUGCCACAUAACCUCCCCCCCCCCCCGAAAGCAACCUAUUUCAUAGAUUAUGGACAAUUAUAAAUGUUGAUAUAUUUAAAUGAACCAACCUGUAGAAAUAAGUCAAAGAUGAGGUAUCUGCUAAAAAUGUAUUAUCUUUUUGUUAUAGACUUUGACUUCCAAAAUCUCACAAGGCUAAACUCCCACUGUAGUUUAUGACACAAACAACACUAUGGGAAGAGUAAGCCCAAAAUAAACCCAAACAAGUCACUAAGGCCAUUCUUACCACCAACCCUACCUGGGCUAACACUGCCCAACCUGGGUAGGGCUAGUUGUGAGAACCACUGGGAUCCCGCUCCUGAUCCCAGUGCUCCUCCACCACGUAGUCUGAGUUUUGUACCCAGGCUAAAAGUGAGGUAGGACAGUGUAGGUGCACCCUCCUUCCUCACCACCCAGUUGUAUGAAAACUCAGGCUGCUGGAAGCCAAUAGAGCCAUGGGGAAGGAGUAGCCAGGCAGCACAGUGCUCCCCCAAUGCACCACACUCCUCAUGUGGUGCAUUGUGGGAUCCUGGAGGAUGCAGCCUCCUUCCUCCCCACACCCCCACGCUGCAUCGGGUUAGGGUUAGGGUUUGGACACACUGCACGGUGGAGCCCGGAAGUGGCAAGGAUUGCAUGAGGAAAGACAGGUAAGCUCCUGCCAACCCCCAGCUCUCCCCAGCCUCAGCAGUUGUGGUUGUGAUAAUCUGAUCUCUAAUUGGUGGCUGGUCACAAGGGACACAUUCCCAAUGAGAAUGUGCUUCCUUUCAGAAGUGAAGUAUUCUACAGGAUGGCUAGCCAUCUAAUAUGUUAAUUAGAUAGCAAUGGGGUAUCAGAUAAUCGGGUUGGCACUGUAGUCUUACAGCCAAGGCUUCCAAAGUGAUUUGUUGGCCAGUCUGCAAAUAAAAUAUUAGGAUAGUUCUGGUUA